rnacentral:lncRNA from 1 species
CUUGCUUUUGGUACAAUUUUCUUAUGCUAUGUUAGUCCUCUCCAACUGUCCCUUAAUGAUGAGAGAUAAGAUGUUCUACAUUAGAAAUAAAUACGUGGUACAAUCGAAACAAUAGCUCUUAAAUCAAGCCUUAAACGUCAAAAUCUACCCAAAGUAAAAAGCACCAAAAAGGCCAUAAAAUCAGAUAAAAAACAACACUAUCCACAUAUAUAAAAAUUAAAUUAUCUAGAAUAGUGACAUGGAAAUAUCAUGGUGGCAAGCAACUCUCCAACUAAGGAUAUUCUAUUCAGCCUAAAAUAUUCAUGCAAGCAGAUCCGCAUCAGUGGAGAUAGUUGCUCCUGUGAAGGCAACUACACCACAUGUUCACACGAAUGAUCAUUUUGUGUAAGAGUCUGACCUGCACCAAUUAUUGUUUCCAUCGAGGCACUAUCUUACUAAUCAUGAAUAACGCGCCUCUUUCAAUUCACAAGUAAUCCUAGAGUAUAUUCCUGCAGUUAUAAUGUCUAUAAUUUGCUUGAAAAUAAAACCAAAUUUGAAGAUUAAAGUUCAUGUUACUCACGAAGGGUAUUAUACUAUUUGCUUCAAUCAGUAAAAUAAAGAUAAUUAUAUCGAACAAUUUGUUAUACACAACGACAACAGUAAAUCAGAUCGCAUAUUUUGCUACCAAAAAAAUGACCAUACAAGCUCUCGGUGAUUGUCUUUAGUAUAAUAGGAAAGAACACCUCCCUAGACUUAUGUGUAAUUGAGCUAAAAGUUCACUUCCAUGUGUUCCCUUUUAAUGUACUUAUAAAGAUCAAACACAAACACUGUCGUUUCCCCUGCUGCUCCACCAAAAAAUCCCAAACAAGAUUAAAACUUGUUGAAAAAAUUGACACUUUUAGCACCAUAAGUUACUUCACAUAUCUUCCUGAUUAGCAUCCCUGACAUGACACAUUCCUUCCCAACUUAUAGUCACUGCAUACUUCUUUAACUCAUUAACCCUUUAUCGAGUGAGUGGACCAUCAAUUUUUCUAUUGCAGUCAUGACAUUAAAAAAUAUGAUAUAAAUCUAUUUUGUAUGCAGUCAAUUUAUCUCAGAUUCGUCAACUUCUUCAAAUAUGGCUAAUCAUCCUAAAAUAGAAGUUUUAUCUGGAAGGUCAUUUAAAGGAAGGGGGAUAAUAUAAUUAUGGACAACUUAAAAAUGAGCAAGACUUGGUGAUUAACAUAUUUUCAAUAUUCUCAUCAUCAAUGUACAUUAUUUAGUUCACAAUUGUUUGUCCAUAUUUAAGGGCCAUGCAAAUUAAUCAUCUCGGCAUGCAUAUUUGAUACAAUUCUAGUUUAAGUAAUACAGUAGCCCAAGAUACAAACCUAAAAAAAUUGGCAAAGACUUCUCCAUUUUUUAUUGUAGUUGUAACUGCAAUGAAGCCACAUAAUAGAUGAGGAAGAAAUUCACAGAGAUUGGGCACUUAAAAAUUAAUAUCAAACUUAUCCUCAGUAGACAAUUUAAUAAUUAAAUCAUAUUUCCACACCAGUUGAUAAGCACUAUUUUUUAGUAGCUACAACAGUGGAUCCCCACCUUUAACUAUCUGUAACUUAAUACUCUUCAACAAUUUCAUUAUGCUUGCAAAAAUUGAACUAAAAUAGUAUGGAGCAACAUAGCAGUUAGUCGUUCAUUUCACUAACUGAACAAUUGUUAAGUUAAUUGAACUCUGCAAUUGGAUUAUAGUUAAGUGGCCCAUAAAUAUAAAAAGGCCCCAAAGAGGUUCGAUUAACAUUUUGUGAGGCACAAAAUUGAACUACAAGUUGAAAUUUGUAAUACUUUUGAAGGGGAACUACACUUAGGUUAUAGUAAGUUACCAUUAUUUGAAAAAAAAGAAGAAGAGAAUUUGUGAUACCUACAAGUUCUCUGUCUCAAGCAUUCCUUUAUGUCUGCUCUCUGGGUCACCUACAUCAUCCUGUUUACAUUGGGCAAGAUGUUUUGGCUAGUGUUGGUGAAAAAACACUAUACAAGGAACUAAAGGUCAAGAUAAGAACAAAAAUUGAAAGAAAGGUCAAACCGAGGUGCAAACAGGACAGUGCAGAAAAGCUGUUGUUUGUUACAUCUCUGAGAUGAAUAAAUCAUGAAGUGUAAUCUCUGUGCUAGGACUCAGUUCAAUAAUAAGAAUUUUGUAUGUGCCUCCAGUUGAACAUUAUAUUUAAGAACUGAAAUUGGAAUAUUGACAAUGCCUAUCCAGUAAAAUUCCUAUUUAUUUGAGUACAAAAGCUAUUUUUAAGUGUCCACUAAUCAAAC